rnacentral:rRNA from 1 species
UAGGGAAUCUUCGGCAAUGGACGGAAGUCUGACCGAGCAACGCCGCGUGAGUGAAGAAGGUUUUCGGAUCGUAAAGCUCUGUUGUAAGAGAAGAACGAGUGCGAGAGUGGAAAGUUCACACUGUGACGGUAUCUUACCAGAAAGGGACGGCUAACUACGUGCCAGCAGCCGCGGUAAUACGUAGGUCCCGAGCGUUGUCCGGAUUUAUUGGGCGUAAAGCGAGCGCAGGCGGUUAGAUAAGUCUGAAGUUAAAGGCUGUGGCUUAACCAUAGUAGGCUUUGGAAACUGUUUAACUUGAGUGCAAGAGGGGAGAGUGGAAUUCCAUGUGUAGCGGUGAAAUGCGUAGAUAUAUGGAGGAACACCGGUGGCGAAAGCGGCUCUCUGGCUUGUAACUGACGCUGAGGCUCGAAAGCGUGGGGAGCAAACAGGAUUAGAUACCCUGGUAGUCCACGCUGUAAACGAUGAGUGCUAGGUGUUAGACCCUUUCCGGGGUUUAGUGCCGUAGCUAACGCAUUAAGCACUCCGCCUGGGGAGUACGACCGCAAGGUUG